rnacentral:rRNA from 1 species
UACGGAGGGUGCAAGCGUUAUCCGGAUUCACUGGGUUUAAAGGGUGUGUAGGCGGGUGUUUAAGUCAGUGGUGAAAUCUCCAGGCUCAACCUGGAAACUGCCAUUGAUACUAUUCAUCUUGAAUUCUGUUGAGGUGGGCGGAAUAUAUCAUGUAGCGGUGAAAUGCUUAGAUAUGAUAUAGAACACCGAUUGCGAAGGCAGCUCACUAAGCAGCGAUUGACGCUGAGGCACGAAAGCGUGGGGAUCAAACAGGG